AAGGAGGAAGUUCAGAAAGUUCAAAUAAAGGUUAUGAGGAGGUCUGAUAAUCUAGAGAUAGAUCUUCAGAAUCAUGACUUUCAAUAAUAAAGUGAAAUGCUCACAUUUUGCAGUAUCAGUAGUGUCUGUAUGACAGCUGGUCAGUUCUCAAUAUCUCAGCAUAUCUCAACAGAAAUGUUUCCUAGACAUAUAUCCCAACGACCCUGACUUUUCCUCUAGCGUCACCAUGAGGUUGACACUGGUUAUAGUUAGGAAUUGGAUGUAUUGCCAUGACAUUUGGUUCAAACCUGUAUGUCCCCAUUAGGAUGAACUCUACUAAGUUUAGUGAACCCCUGUUUUUUGAUUGAUCGUAAUUUGUCCAAUUAGCAAAACUAAUAACAUUCCCAUCAGCUGUACUUUGUGUUUAAUGGUAAUUAGUAGAUUUUAGCAUGUUAACCCAUUUUACUAAAAUGCUGAACAUGAACACACAUCAAAAUGGCCAACUUUGACGCCACGCCACGGACACGCCCUUCAACUUAUAGUCACAAAUCACAACUUUUAAUCAGCAAUGUUUUUUAAGUGUAGAUGUCAUUGUCAACAUUUUAAGGGUCUUCUGACCAAAUUUCAGCUAGAUUUGUUCAAUCUGCUGGGAGAAAUACAUUAAAGUGUAAUAAAUUCGACCACUAGGUGGUGCUCUCACUAUAAGUUAAUUUUUUCACAUAGAUGUGUUCAGGGCGGGACUCUUAUCAAUUCAAUUCAAUUCAAUUCAAUUUUAUUUGUAUAGCGCCAAUUCAUAACAGAAGUUAUCUCAGGACACUUUUCAAAUAGAGCAGGUCUAGACCGAACUCUUUAAAACAUUAUUUACAGAGACCCAACAGUACCACCAUGAGCAAGCACUUGGCGACAAGGGCAAGGAAAAACUGCCUGUUAAAAGGCAGAAACCUAGGACAGAUCCUUCGGCUCUAGGUGGGUGGUCGUCUGCCUCGACCAGUUGGGGUGAGAGAGAGAGAGAGAGAGAGAGAGACAGAGAGACAGACAGACAGACAGACAGACAGA